GUGAAGAUAGCAUAUCGUAUUUAAACGUCAUAGAAUAUACUGAUCUUGUAUCUCAAGAACUACUGAUCUUUUUUUUAUACGACCACGGUUUUAGUUAAUUAACAACGGUACAAAGGCCACUUCAUUCAACUGUGAUAAUAGGUUUAGACAGCAAACGUAAAAGAACACGGUCAUCAUUUAACACUGGAGAGAAAGAGUUAUGAUGACAAAAAGUCCGCUAUUGUUGUCGACCGAGGCAUGUCGGAUUUCACACUGUACCUUGACGAAUUGUUGUACAUAUUUGAAGACUUCGUUUUCGUGAAAUGACUUUCUCGGUUUCAUACGAAUAAUUAAAUAACAGGCGGAGUGUUCACCAACAUAAAUCCAAUGAAAGAAACGGGAAUCAAAGUCGUAACUGAAUAACAAACGUAUACACUUGUAUAAAGGUAACAAGAAACGGGAAUCAAAGUCGUAACUGAAUAACAAACGUAUACACUUGUAUAAAGGUAACAAGAAAAGCUGUUGUACAUCCAAAUAACUAUACGGAGCAUACGUUCGAGGACUGGGUGACGUCUUCACUUACAGUUAAAAGGACAUACUUUUUAACGAGAACACGUCGUAUACGGGUAAACGAUAAACUACCAACGUCGAAUUCCGUACGAUAGUCUGUGCGUUCUACCUCGAUUUUGACAAGCAGAAACGCGUCGACGUAGUCUUAAUGUUAUAUCGUCAUAGAAUCUAUUGUUUGUAUAACGUACCAUUUGUUAAUUACGGUGACCCGGUCUGUCAUACACUUCUAACCCACUAAGGUUCUUCUGUUUUUCGUAGUGACUAUCAAAUAAUUUAGAGUUCACAGUACGAGAAAGAAAAAACGUCCAGUGUUUUACGAAACCUAUCGUAUACAUAAAGACAGUCAACGUAAAGUACAGAAAGCAGAGCAGAUAAAAUAAACCUAAUCCUCUACCUUUUAUUUCCAUUGGCUAGACGCAACCUUUAUUAAACAUCAAUUUUCUCGUACGGUACCGAAUCAGACUAUUUAUGUACUAUUACUAACGGGAGCAGUACCAAAGUCUACAUUACCUUGAAACCGUCUCGCUUCUGUGUAUGAGAGUGAAAUACUACGAAAGGUAAAGUGUCUAUCUUUUACGGUGUCUAUUAAAGAGUUGACUUUUCUUCUAACCUCCUUCCAAACGGGGAUACAUGUUCUGAUUAACACAAGAAAUCAAAACAAACAAUGAUACAAAAGAUCUUACAGUUCCGCCUUUCCACGACUAAUAAUAUUAAGUACCAAAUUAACAAGCCUGAACUCGAAGCCCCCCAUCCCCCACCCCCCGUACAAGAAGUAUAAUGAAAGACAAUCUAACAACAAACCAACAGGUAUAUCUUGAUGUCUACGUUUUCCUCUCCACGUUUAAACCUCUAACUGGUUACUAUACAAUAAAUUAAACACAAAUAAAUGUUCUUGAGAUGAACUAACAACGUCUAUUUAACACUCUUCUACUACGAAAAUUCUAUACUAGACGUAAACGUUGAUCACAGAACAAGAUUUUUACAGAGGUUAGUAGGAAUCAAUUACAGUACUCGUGUCGAGGUCAGUACAAUGAAAGGAACACCUGAUUUGAAACGAGUCGAUUACAAUAAAAUAAACAACCCAUGAAAAUGUACCGUGUAAAAAAAUAUUACUAUACUCGUACACAUAUAACGUUUAUCUUUCCCCCGAGUAAACAAGUACCUUGAACCCCUCUAUGCUAGAAACUAUAUACUCGCAAAAUAAAAAGAAAGUAAAAGAACAGGACAUGGUAAACUUUGAUGUAAGAAGUCGCGGUGUAAAGCAGAUAUAUCUUUCAGUCAUAAAAGAACCAAGAAGCAUACUCACCGGUAGGAUACACUAUCAGGAUUAAAAUGAAAAAUCUGGUCUGGAACAAACUUUAUAUCCUUAAAGUGACUUAGUAAGAACACUUUAGACAUCUCAUAAAGACGACAAAAACGAGGUCCGCAUAAAAACAUGGCUCAAUAAAGCCACAAGAAUACAGAAUAGAACUUAAAGUUCAAAACAUUCGAUACACUAGUAUGUAUGUUAGCCUUUAAGUGUUACAUGACGUUCUACCGACCACAACCUAUCAUACAU
rnacentral:rRNA from 1 species